AAAAUAAUACCCCACUCCUUCCGUAACAAACAAUCCUAGCUACCCCAUUCCCAUUUUCUCUCACGUCUCUCCUAUCUAGAAACUGAAAAAGAUAUUAUCUUUCUCAUCUAAAAGUGCCUCUACUUGUAAUUCGUUAAAGCGAAAUGCCACUGACUCAAAUUGCAACAUAGAAUAUUAUGUGAUUUAGAGAAAAGCCUUCAAUGUAGAUCUAAACGGUAUUGUUAUAUCUUAAACACAAGGGAUUCAUGCAGCUAGCUUCUAUUCAUAAUGGACAUUGAUACAUGCUUCGAAUGGCUAUGGAGUACGGACGGAGGUAGAAUAUCGAGUUCUGUUCUGUUCUAGAUUUAUGGCAAUUCAACUCUGAUCUAUGGCUUGAGGAAAUUCAAGGUUGUAUGUGCUCAUUCAUGAAUCUUUUGUUAAUUUUUUUUUCUUUGUUUUUUGGUAUAUAAUAGUAACUCAGGAGCUGGUGUUAUAGACCUUCCUCCUGGUGGACCCUCAAUAUAGAUUUACUCCUCCCUUAAUCAGUCUAGAUCGAUCAGAUAAUUAGGUUUGAUUAAGUGUUUUUUUUUUUUUUUUUACAUUUUCACAAUCCUUCUUAGAAUUUAUCUCUUUCUAGUGUUAUUCGCUCUCGUAUUUUGUUUUACUUUUCUCUUGAAAUAAAAUUCUGACAGCUAGUGUAUCAAGACCUAACACUAAGGGUCUUACCACUCGUACCAUCAGGAUAGCAAAUUCUGCUCCAAUGAUAACCCUCACGAUUCUUAUCAAUAUUUUUGUUCAACUUGUAGGCCAAGUUCGUACAGGAAGUGCUUCAAAAGAAGCUCUAGAUUGUGCACAACAAGUCUUGGGAAUGGCACACAAAAGGAUCGUCCAACGUGAUAAGGAGCAACACGAGAAUGAAGGCCAGGACACUUGAGCUUAUAAGCUACUACCACCACAAGAUCCUAGUUUUUUCUAAGCUUUAGUUCUUCGAUUUCGUAGAUACAAGUUGUACUUUUGAUUAUGUUUUGGACUAUUUAGUUAGUAACAUUUUUGUACUGUGGAGUAUGGUUAGUAACAUAAUCAUGUACUAUCGAUAUAUUAUGGUUAAUUAGUACCAUUACCGUGUACUAUGGAUAUAUUAUGAUUAAUUAUUACCAUUACCAUGUA